UUGAAAUAUGUUAAGUGUUGGCAAUUUUUUAUCUGAGGAUGAAGAUGAGUAUAUUCAAAAUGAUUUAAACGUGAGGCGAAAAAUAUUGCGGCAAGAGUCUAACAUAUUUUCCAUGACUGAUUCCCAAUUAGUUAGUUACUUCAGGCUAAGUAAGGAUGCAUUUAAAUAUGUUUUGGGUCAAAUCACUCCAGACCUCCGUAACCGGGUUAAAUCUACAAGUGUCCCAAAUACACUAAAACUAGCCGCAACAAUUCGAAUACUGGCUGAAGGAAGUUAUCAAAAGGGCGCUGGGAACGAUUUCAAUGUCAGUUUAUCACAGUCGUCUGUCAGCAAUGUGUUCCGCGAGUGCAUAGAAGUAUUGCAUAAUAAGCUGUGUCCAAAUUGGAUCUCUUUUCCCACCACAGAAGAAGAGAAAUAUGAAAUUAAGGAACAUUUUUUGAAAAAUACUGGAUUUCCUGGUGUGAUUGGAUGUAUUGAUGGAACGCACAUAAAAAUUGUUGCGCCAAGAAUGGAAGAGAGAUUCAAAUACUUGAACCGGAAAGGCUUCAACAGUCUCAACGUAACGGUGAAUUAGAUAUAUAUCAUCACACCAUCAUGGAUCCGUUCACGACUCGUUGGUUUGGAAUACAAGUGAUUUGAAACAACACAUGAAAGAAAACUUUGACAAUGGCGAAAGAAAUACAUGGAUAUUAGGUGACGCAGGAUAUCCAUUGGAAAAAUUUUUAAUUACGCCAUUUAGAUCAGCUGACGAAGGCUCACCAGAGUGUAGAUUCAACAAAAUACAUUCAAAAACAAGAAAUAUAGUUGAACGAGCAAUUGGGGUGUUGAAGAACAGAUUACGUUGUAUAUUAGGAGCGAGACAAUUGCAUUACACCCCUGAUAUAUGUGGAAAAGUAACAGCAGUUUGUGCAGCAUUACACAAUAUUUCCAUACAUUUCAAAAUUGAAAUGCCGAUAGUUAGUGCAAACCCCGUACUUCAUGACAGAUUCAAAUGAUGUUGAAAUGAACGACGAUUUGAAUACAUUAGACAU